GCUCUCUCUUGUUGAAAGUGCAUUUCCCUUAAAAACCCCUCUACAGACAUGGCUUGCAACACAGUGAUUAGAGAAGGCUGACCUUCCCAGACAGCUCAGAAAACAGAGUAGUUCUCUAGGCAUGGUACCCAGUCUGGCAGCAUCACCUGGAAAUUUGGAAGAACUAAAACUCCUGAGGGCUAGGAAGAUGGCUCAGUUGCUAAGGUUCUUACUGCUCAAGGAAAACUCAGCUCCAAACAGCGAAACACACUGGAUGUAUGAAUACCUGAAGAAGAAUGGAUAGCUACCCUGAGGACCAUCAAACAAACAAUAAUUCAC